rnacentral:rRNA from 1 species
ACGGGAGGCAGCAGUGGGGAAUAUUGGGCAAUGGGCGAAAGCCUGACCCAGCGACGCCGCGUGAAGGAAGAAGGUCUUCGGAUUGUAAACUUCUUUUAUCAGGGACGAAAGAAAUGACGGUACCUGAUGAAUAAGCCACGGCUAACUACGUGCCAGCAGCCGCGGUAAUACGUAGGUGGCGAGCGUUAUCCGGAUUUACUGGGUGUAAAGGGUGUGCAGGCGGGACUGCAAGUCAGAAGUGAAAAUUAUGGGCUUAACCCAUAACCUGCUUUUGAAACUGUGGUUCUUGAGGGUCGGAGAGGUUACUGGAAUUCCCGGUGUAGCGGUGAAAUGCGUAGAUAUCGGGAGGAAUACCGGUGGCGAAGGCGAGUAACUGGACGACACCUGACGCUGAGACACGAAAGUGUGGGGAGCAAACAGGAUUAGAUACCCUGGUA